ACGCUUUCUGGAGGUUACCGCGGCUGCUGGCACGGAGUUAGCCGGUGCUUCUUCUGUGAGUGAUGUCCUUCCUGCCGGCUAUUAACCCGCAGGCCUUCUUCCUCACUGAAAGUGCUUUACAACCCGAAGGCCUUCUUCACACACGCGGCAUGGCUGGAUCAGGGUUGCCCCCAUUGUCCAAUAUUCCCCACUGCUGCCUCCCGUAGGAGUCUGGGCCGUGUCUCAGUCCCAGUGUGGCUGAUCAUCCUCUCAGACCAGCUACGGAUCGUCGCCUUGGUGAGCCGUUACCUCACCAACCAGCUAAUCCGACAUAGGCUCAUCCGAUAGCGCGAGGCCCGAAGGUCCCCCGCUUUCCCCCGUAGGGCGUAUGCGGUAUUAGCCUGGGUUUCCCCAGGUUAUCCCCCACUACCGGGCAGAUUCCUAUGCAUUACUCACCCGUCCGCCGCUCGCCACCAGGGAGCAAGCUCCCCGUGCUGCCGCUCGACUUGCAUGUGUUAGGCCUGCCGCCAGCGUUCAAU
rnacentral:rRNA from 1 species